CCAUUGUAAUAACAAUAUGUAUGCAGGAGUAUGUGGUUUCUAGUUGCAGUAAGUCUUUUGCUAUCCAGUUAGUAGCGCAUUGUCAUCUUAUGUUUAUGCUUUGUCUAAUGGUUUGUGAAACAAAUCUGACUGUAGCCGAAGCAGAUCCACGAGAUCAAGGACUUCCUUUUCACCGCGAGGAGGAAGAUUGCCCAUUCUGUGAAGAUCAAGAGGAGCAAGGAUGUGGUCAAGUUCAAGGUGCGCUGCUCCAGCCCUCUGCAUCUUCGAUGCUAAGAAGGCGAACAAGUUGAAGCAAUCUCUUCCCCAGGUCAUGAAAAUUGCUUACCAGUAAGCAACUGAUUGUAUGAGUCAUGAAUAUCUAGUUUUCUUUGUGAUGUUCUUGAUUUAGGGGAGGAUGGGAGGCAAAUCUGUUUGUGUAAAUAGCAUAUUAUAAAAUCAAAUUUCUAGAUUUAUGAUCUUUAGUUCAAAAUCUUGUCUUGUAAUCAUUUGUACAUUCCGGCAAAAAAUGCAUGAUUCGUUCAUGCAGUUUUUUUU